rnacentral:rRNA from 1 species
AUUGAACUCUAGCGGCAGGCCUAUCACAUGCAAGUCGAACGAGUGGCGGACGGGUGAGUUAUGUCUGGUGAACUGCCAGAUGGAGGGGGAUAACUACUGGGAACCGUAGGUAAUACCGCAUAACAGCAGAUUUGCACGGCUGGGAUUAGCUGGUUGGUGGGGUAACGGCUCACCAAGGCGACGAUCCCUAGCUGGUCUGAGAGGAUGACCAGCCACACUGGAACUGAGACGCGGUCAAGAUUAGAACGGGAGACAGCAGUGGGGAAUAUUGCACAAUGGGGGGAAGCGUGAUGGAGCCAUGGCGGGUGUAUGAAGAAGGCCUUCCGGUGUUAAAGGACUGUCAGCGGGGAGGCGUUACCCGCAGAAGAAGGACGGGAUAACGCCGUGCCAGCAGCCGCGGUAAUAC